UACGUAGGGGGCGAGCGUUGUCCGAAUUUACUGGGCGUAAAGAGCGCGUAGGCGGGUUCUUAAGUGAGAGGUGAAAGGUUCAGGGCUCAACCCGAACAGUGCCUUUCAUAUUGGGAGCCUUGAGUGUGGGAGAGGCGAGUGGAAUUUCUGGUGUAGCGGUGAAAUGCGUAGAUAUCAGAAGGAACACCCAUGGCGAAGGCAGCUCGCUGGCCUACAACUGACGCUGAGGCGCGAAAGCGUGGGGAGCAAACAGG
rnacentral:rRNA from 1 species